GAUUAACGCUGGCGGCGUGCAUGAGACAUGCAAGUCGAACGGACGAUCAGGGCUUGCUCUGGUCGUUAGUGGCGGACGGCUGAGUAACGCGUAGGUGACCUGCCCCGAAGUGGGGGAGUAACUGCCCGAAGGGUGGCUAAUACCGCAUGUGGUGGUUCGUUCAUUCGAACCAUCAAAGCAGCAAUGCGCUUCGGGAGGGGCCUGCGUCCGAUUAGCUCGUUGGUGGGGAACGGCUCACCAAGGCGACGAUCGGUAGGUGGUCUGAGAGGACGAUCACCCAGACUGGGACUGAGACACGGCCCAGACUCCUACGGGAGGCAGCAGUCGGGAAUUUUGCGCAAUGGACGAAAGUCUGACGCAGCAACGCCGCGUGAGGGAUGAAGGCCUU
rnacentral:rRNA from 1 species